rnacentral:rRNA from 1 species
AAGCCAUGCAUGUCUCAGUGCAAGCCGAAGUAGGGCAGGACCGCGAAAAGCUCAUUAAAUCAGUUAUGGUUCCUUGGAUGGAUCCCCCUACUUGGAUAACUGUGGUAAUUCUAGAGCUAAUACAUGCAUUUAAGUCCCGACUGGCGACGGAAGGGACGCUUUUAUUAGAUCAAAACCAAACGGGCCUCGUGCCCGUGAACCUGGUGACUCUGAAUAAAGUGGUGGCGGAUCGCACGGUCCCCGAGCCGGCGACGCAUCUUUCAAAUGUCUGCCUUAUCAACUGUCGAUGGUAGGUUCUGCGCCUACCAUGGUUAUAACGGGUAACGGGGAAUCAGGGUUCGAUUCCGGAGAGGGAGCCUGAGAAACAGCUACCACAUCCAAGGAAGGCAGCAGGCGCGCAAAUUACCCACUCCCGGCACGGGGAGGUAGUGACGAAAAAUAACGAUACGGGACUCAUCCGAGGCCCCGUAAUCGGAAUGAGGGUACUUUAAAACCUUCCACGAGUACCUAUUGGAGGGUAAGUCUGGUGCCAGCAGCCGCGGUAAUUCCAGCUCCAAUAGCGUAUAUUAAAGUUGCUGCGGUUAAAAAGCUCGUAGUCUGAAUUGUGUCCCACGCUGCCGGUUCACCGCCCGUCGGUGUCUAACUGGCACGCAGGUGAGGACGUCCUGUCGGUGGCCCGAGCGGGCGCUUCGGCGGUCAUUUAUGGCCCCGUCGCGUUUCGGGAAGGCCUAAUAAUACCGGAACCGGUGCUCUUAACCGAGUGUCGCUUUCGGCCGACAACUUUACUUUGAACAAAUUAGAGUGCUUAAAGCAGGCAGCAGCCGCCUGAAUGCCGAGUGCAUGGAAUAAUGGAAUAGGACCUCGGUUCUAUUUUGUUGGUUUUCGGAACCCCGAGGUAAUGAUCAAUAGGGACAGACGGGGGCAUUCGUAUUGCGACGUUAGAGGUGAAAUUCUUGGAUCGUCGCAAGACGGACAGAAGCGAAAGCAUUUGCCAAGAAUGUUUUCUCUGAUCAAGAACGAAAGUUAGAGGUUCGAAGGCGAUCAGAUACCGCCCUAGUUCUAACCAUAAACGAUGCCGGUUGGCAUUCCGCCGAAGUUCCUCCGAUGACUCGGCGGGCGGCCUACGGGAAACCAAAGCUUUUGGGUUCCGGGGGAAGUAUGGUUGCAAAGCUGAAACUUAAAGGAAUUGACGGAAGGGCACCACCAGGAGUGGAGCCUGCGGCUUAAUUUGACUCAACACGGCAAACCUGACCAGGCCAGGACACCAGAAGGAUUGACAGAUUGAGAGCUCUUUCUUGAUUAGGUGGGUGGUGGUGCAUGGCCGUUCUUCGUUGGUAGAGUGAUUCGUCUGCUUAAUUGCGAUAACGAACGAGACCAUAUCCUGCUAACUAGUCGCUCCGGUAUCCUCUGUGCUACCGGCGACGUGCAAAUCUUCUUAGAGGGACAGGCGGCUUCCAGCCGCACGAAAUUUGGCAAUAACAGGUCAGUGAUGCCCUUGGAUGUCCUGGGCCGCACGCGCGCUACACUGAAGGAAUCAGCGUGUUUUCCCAGGCCGAAAGGUCCGGGUAACCCACUGAACCUCCUUCGUGCUAGGGAUUGGGGCUUGCAAUUAUUCCCCAUGAACGAGGAAUUCCCAGUAAGCGCGAGUCAUAAGCUCGCGUUGAUUACGUCCCUGCCCUUUGUACACACCGCCCGUCGCUACUACCGAUUGAGUGAUUUAGUGAGGUCUUCGGACCG